UGGGGAAUAUUGGACAAUGGGGGCAACCCUGAUCCAGCCAUGCCGCGUGAGUGAUGAAGGCCUUAGGGUUGUAAAGCUCUUUCACCCGGGACGAUAAUGACGGUACCGGGAGAAGAAGCCCCGGCUAACUUCGUGCCAGCAGCCGCGGUAAUACGAAGGGGGCUAGCGUUGUUCGGAAUCACUGGGCGUAAAGCGCACGUAGGCGGACCGUUAAGUCGGAGGUGAAAUCCUGGGGCUCAACCCCAGAACUGCCUUCGAUACUGGCGGUCUCGAGUCCGGAAGAGGUGAGUGGAACUGCCAGUGUAGAGGUGAAAUUCGUAGAUAUUGGCAAGAACACCAGUGGCGAAGGCGGCUCACUGGUCCGGUACUGACGCUGAGGUGCGAAAGCGUGGGGGGCAAACAGGAUUAGAUACCCUGGUAGUCCACGCCGUAAACGAUGAAUGCCAGCCGUCGGGCAGCAUGCUGUUCGGUGGCGCAGCUAACGCUUUAAGCAUUCCGCCUGGGGGAGUACGGUCGCAAGAUUAAAACUUAAAUGAAUUGAC
rnacentral:rRNA from 1 species